UGGGGAAUCUUGGACAAUGGGCGCAAGCCUGAUCCAGCCAUGCCGCGUGAGUGAUGAAGGCCUUAGGGUUGUAAAACUCUUUCGUCGGGGACGAUAAUGACGGUACCCGAAGAAGAAGCCCCGGCUAACUUCGUGCCAGCAGCCGCGGUAAUACGAAGGGGGCUAGCGUUGUUCGGAUUUACUGGGCGUAAAGCGCGUGUAGGCGGGCUGGUAAGUUGGGGGUGAAAUCCCUAGGCUCAACCUCGGAACUGCCUCCAAAACUGUCAGCCUGGACUCAAGUAGAGGCAAGUGGAAUUGCGAGUGUAGAGGUGAAAUUCGUAGAUAUUCGCAGGAACACCAGUGGCGAAGGCGACUUGCUGGACUUGUAGUGACGCUGAGACGCGAAAGCGUGGGGAGCAAACG
rnacentral:rRNA from 1 species